UGCAGGCACCGGUUAGAUAAGGUGCCUCAGGUGCAGAAGGGACAGGCUUGGCAGGUACACUGGACUUUACCGCCUGGGUGACUGGGCGAGGGCGGCUUGGGUGGACGUGUGUGCCUGAUCCUGAAUCAAAAGGGCAGGAGGUGCCCCAGGCUUCUGCAGGGAAAUGGUGUCCAUUUCCCAGCAUGGGUGGGACUUAGGCUACCAUAGAAGUACCUGUCAGCAGGAUCAGCCUCAGCGGGAACCUGCAAGUUUCACCAUCCACCUUGUUACUGAAUUUUAGCAUCAAGUGGAUGUAGACACCUGGGCUGCCUGAGCCAUGAUUUGGAACAGCUGGGAUUCCGUACCAGGAUUUGAUCAACUGAGUCUCAAGGUAGCUUGGCGACAGUGAGCACUUCUGCUCUCAUGGAUCCAUCAUUCUGAACUUGAAACCUAUACUCCAUGAUGGCAGGACAAAGGCACGCUGGCAGAAACAGAGAGUUGGAGUCCACAGCGGCAGAGUGAAGACACAGCAGCAGAGGUUGAGAGUUCACAUCUCAAACAGUAGGCAGGAGGCGGAGAGCACAGUGGGAACAGGCAAACGUCUUCUGAAACCUCAAAGCUGCCCGCAGUGACAGGCCUGCUUCAACAAGGCCACAUGUUCUGAUCUUUCCCAAAGGAUCCCACCAACUGAGGACUAAGAAUUAAAACAUAGGAACUUAUUGAAGCCAUUCUCAUUCAAGCCACAACAGAACCCCAGCACAGCUACCAAGCACACUUGGCAAAAGAUGGUUUCCGUCUUUCCUCCCUGACACAGGUGACGAUUCAGCUCAUUGGUGGGAGCUUGACUUCACAAAGAAGAAUGGAAGAUCCAGGACAUCUGAGCUAUUUCCAGGUUACCUUUGAUGAAACAACAACAACAACAACAACAACAACAACCACUAUAACUUUGAUAGAAAAAGACUUUCUCUAAAAUUUCCCUCUUCUUUAUAGUUUUUUUUUUUCAAACUUAGCCAGCAUAUGUUGAUCAUUUUAAGUCUCUAAAAAGGGUAAAUUGUUUUCCAGGGUGUACAUUUGUACACCAGUGUGUGCUUAGUGAUGGUGGAAGCCAGAAGAAGGUGUCAGGUUCCCUGCACCCAGAGUUGCACACGGUUGUGAGCAGCCAUGUGGAUACUGGGAAUUGAACCCUGGGGCCUCUAGAAAAGUGGUCAGUGCUCUUAACCUCUGAGUCACCUUUCCAGCCCAAAUAAACUGUUAUGGUAA